UUGAGUGAUCUAAAGCGCUAGACUCAAGUUUUGGCCUUCAUGAGAGGGCUUGGGGUUCAAAUCCCACUUUUGACAGAAAUUUAAAAUUUUAAUGAAGUUGAAAAGAACUGCAGGAAGAGGAUUAAGAAUAGAGAUGAUAGCAAGUAUGCUAUGCCAAAACGAGGCCCCUUCCAUAGCCAUAAACAAAUAGGAAAACUUGGAUAAGAUUCUCCUACAACUGAUAAGAGAAAAAUGAACUUUCUGACUAUUAAGGAGAUAAUGAGGACUUUUAAUUACUGUAUUCAGUACUGACAUCUGAUAUGAGGUUUUGCUCUUCAAUCCUUAUUUCUUUGUCUAGCUUUGCCCUGUAGAGUUUUUCUUCCCAUUUGCUUUCAUUUGGUGAGCUGUCAAGGUCCAUUAAUGUUGAUUUGUCCUUAUCCUAAGCUGGUGUGACUUUCCAUGCAUUGCUGCAAAACCAUGGGUAAUCUUGUUACCACUCUUUUGAAUCUGGAAUAUUUUCUUGAUAUUCUUUGAGUGCCUUUUUUAACUCCAUUUGAUAGGGUGUUGGUGGUUCUAUAUCAAAGUCCCAAGGUGCUAGUACAUCUCCUAGUAGCCAUAUUUCUAUGGGAAUGGUUCUAUUGAGUUGGCAGAGAUAUUUUUGCAGCGUUUUGUAGUUAUAGGGAUUUGUAUCAACCUCUGAGCUGUAUGUUUUGUAAAUCCAAACUGUUGGAAAUGCUCCUAAUUAUUGGGUUGAUGCACCAUUUUGCAUGAAAUAUUGUGGUUCAUAGAAAAUAAUUACUACAAUUGAAGGAGGUGUUCUUUUGGAUUGUUCAAGUGUCAA